CAUCAAGCCAGGGAAACUUGUUCUCCCUCAAGAGGCUGGGGAGUGGUGGAAGCCUGGUGAGCAGGGAGGAUGUGGUCAGGCUCACGCAACUCUUGGCAGCCCGUGGGACAGGUAUGCACAGACACACACUGCUGUCCAACUGGUCACUGUGCUCUGGAUCACCCACCCUCAGAAGGGCUCUGCAAGAUCUUCAGUGAAGUUGGACAUAACUCUUAAUUUGCUUGGAGAAUGUGGAGAGUCAAGGGACUGAAUGUUUUAUUGUGCAGGGCUGAAAGAGAAAAGUAUGUAAUCGUUUCUGGAAAAAUUUUAUCCAAAUAGGCCUCCUUGUGUGGAGUUGGAAGAAGAGUAUAAUUUCCUCAGAGACUAUUCCUGCAUGAUUCAGGAACACUUCUUUAAUAUCCAACAGAGGAAUGAGAUGCAAACAUGAAAACAAAGGGAUCUGAUCAUGUGCCUUCCACCAGAGUCCACAUCUUCCCAUCAUCUGGGGUACAAGCACAAGCAUCUCAGGUUAGGCUUUUGAGAAGAAGAUGUGAUGUGAAGAUUUCUGUGCAAUCGAUGCAUGAAGGAAGAGCUUCCAGGAGAAACUGGUGAAAGAUGAGUUUUCGGAGAUCACUGGACAUUUUGAAGUGUGAGCUCUCUGUGGAAGGCAAGCAUACGGAACUCCGUCUGGUAUUUCUUCCUGGAAACAAACCUACUCUCAGAAAACCCAUUGAAGUCCCUGUUUUACAACUAACAUAAUGGGCGUGUGGAAAUGCCUCUCCAUCCACCAGGGGGCAGAAACGAACCCUUUGAUUGGCCAGAGAUCUUUGGACUUCAACUUUGAUUUGGAAUAGUUGUAAUUUGCAUAGCCUUUUCACUCUCAGACAUCACUCUUUCUGUCACUAGGAACAUAACCAUAUAGACUUUUCAAAGAAACCUCUUAAUUCUGUGUGAAACUCUAAACUUCACUCUACCAAUAAACUUCCCCACAUUCACACUAGAGAGAUGUGAUGGGAAUGCUGGGUCUUACAUAUGGUGGUCUUCAUAUUUUCGUGGAUUUGUCUUUUGAGGCAUGGAGUGCCUGACCUUUGCGUAUGCAAGAUUCGCUAGCAUGUAAACUCUGUCACUGUCUCCCAAGAACACAGAAACAGGGCUAUUAAUAAUUUUAAUGCUUACUGUUUUGUGUAGCUUUUUUUGCAGAAACUGUCUAUUAAAAAGUCAAAUUUGGUGGUGCUUUUCUUGUGUUUUUGGUGGGGAGGCGGACCGCUUCCUGGAAGGAAGGGAUGUGUGUAAUGUAUAUAAAGUCACCUUGUGCUAUUCUCAUUCAGUUUAGCACCGUGCUGCUCAGUGAUCAUGGCCUUCAUCAAUGCAAGCAUCAAAGUAAGGGUGGCCAUUUCAGGAG
rnacentral:lncRNA from 1 species